rnacentral:rRNA from 1 species
UACGUAGGGUGCAAGCGUUGUCCGGAAUUAUUGGGCGUAAAGAGCUCGUAGGCGGUUUGUCACGUCGGAUGUGAAAACCCGAGGCUUAACCUCGGGCCUGCAUUCGAUACGGGCUGACUAGAGUUCGGUAGGGGAGACUGGAAUUCCUGGUGUAGCGGUGAAAUGACGCAGAUAUCAGGAGGAACACCGGUGGCGAAGGCGGGUCUCUGGGCCACUACUGACGCUGAGAAGCGAAAGCAUGGGGAGCGAACAGG